CGGGUACUGCGUGAUUUGUUAGUGCCGAUAUGUUCCUGGGCCAACGAUGUUCACUAGGGAGCUGUCCCUACCGGCGGUGUGCCGUCGGCAUAUGGCACCCACCUGCACCAGCAGGCCACAGUGGAUCAGAGGGCCGACGGUCAUCGUGGUCCCGCC
rnacentral:other from 1 species